rnacentral:rRNA from 1 species
CAAUUCCGGUUGAUCCCGCCGGAGGCCACCGCUAUCCGCCUGGGACUAAGCCAUGCGAGUCGGAGGUGGCGCCCUCUGGGCGCUGCCUGGCGAACUGCUGAGUAACACGUAGCCAACCUACCCUGGGGAGGGGGAUAAUCCCGGGAAACUGGGGCUAAUCCCCCAUAGCUCUAAGGUACUGGAAUGUCCUUAGAGCGAAAGGCCCCGCUUUUGCGGGGUGCCCCAGGAUGGGGCUGCGGCCCAUCAGGUUGUUGCCGGGGUAACGUCCCGGCAAGCCUAUAACGGGUAGGGGCCUUGAGAGAGGGAGCCCCCAGAUGCCCUCUGAGACAUGAGGGCAGGGCCUACGGGUCGCAGCAGGCGCGAAACCUUCGCAAUGCGCGCAAGCGCGACGAGGUCAGGCGGAGUGGCUCCGCUCUGCGGAGCCUUUUCCCGAGGUUAAACACCUCGGGGAAUAAGGGGUGGGCAAGACGGGUGCCAGCCGCCACGGUAAUACCCGCGCCCCAAGUGGUGGUCGCGAUUAUUGGGCCUAAAGCGCCCGUAGCCGGGUAGGCAAGUUCCCCGUGAAAUCGGCUAGUAAACUAGCCGGCGUGCGGGGAAGACUGCCUACCUUGGGACCGGGAGAGGCCGGGGGUAUUCCCGGGGUAGGGGUAAAAUCCUCUGAUCCCGGGAGGACCACCAGUGCCGAAGGCGCCCGGCCAGAACGCGCUCGACGGUGAGGGACGAA